rnacentral:rRNA from 1 species
GACGAACGCUGGCGGCGUGCUUAACACAUGCAAGUCGAACGGUAAGGCCCUUCGGGGUACACGAGUGGCGAACGGGUGAGUAACACGUGGGUGAUCUGCCCUGCACUUCGGGAUAAGCCUGGGAAACUGGGUCUAAUACCGGAUAGGACUCCGGACUGCAUGGUCUGGGGUGGAAAGCUUUUGCGGUGUGGGAUGGGCCCGCGGCCUAUCAGCUUGUUGGUGGGGUGAUGGCCUACCAAGGCGACGACGGGUAGCCGGCCGGAGAGGGUGACCGGCCACCCUGGGACUGAGAUACGGCCCAGACUCCGACGGGAGGCAGCAGUGGGGAAUAUUGCACAAUGGGCGCAAGCCUGAUGCAGCGACGCCGCGUGAGGGAUGACGGCCUUCGGGUUGUAAACCUCUUUCAGCAUCGACGAAGCGAAAGUGACGGUAGGUGCAGAAGAAGGACCGGCCAACUACGUGCCAGCAGCCGCCGUAA